rnacentral:rRNA from 1 species
AACGAACGCUGGCGGCGUGGAUAAGACAUGCAAGUCGAACGGGACAGGUAGCAAUAUCUGUCUAGUGGCGAACGGGUGCGUAACACGUGGGCAACAUGCCUGGAAGAGCGGGAUAGCCCGGGGAAACUCGGAUUAAUACCGCAUGUGACAACGGGGCGGCUUCGCCCUGUUUUCAAAGGUGGGGACCGCAAGGCCUGCCGCUUCCAGAUUGGCCCGCGUCCUAUCAGCUAGUUGGCGGGGUAAGAGCCCACCAAGGCGACGACGGGUAGCUGGUCUGAGAGGACGACCAGCCACACUGGAACUGAGACACGGUCCAGACACCUACGGGUGGCAGCAGUCGAGAAUCUUUCACAAUGGGGGAAACCCUGAUGGAGCGACGCCGCGUGGAGGAUGAAGGUCUUCGGAUUGUAAACUCCUGUCAUGAAAGAACAAGCGAUGCGGGUGAACAGCCCGCAAAGUUGAUAGUAUUUCAAGAGGAAGGGACGGCUAACUUCGUGCCAGCCGCCGCGGUAACAC